GACGAACGCUGGCGGCGUGCCUAAUACAUGCAAGUUGAGCGCUGAAGGUUGGUACUUGUACCAACUGGAUGAGCAGCGAACGGGUGAGUAACGCGUGGGGAAUCUGCCUUUGAGCGGGGGACAACAUUUGGAAACGAAUGCUAAUACCGCAUAAAAACUUUAAACACAAGUUUUAAGUUUGAAAGACGCAAUUGCAUCACUCAAAGAUGAUCCCGCGUUGUAUUAGCUAGUUGGUGAGGUAAAGGCUCACCAAGGCGAUGAUACAUAGCCGACCUGAGAGGGUGAUCGGCCACAUUGGGACUGAGACACGGCCCAAACUCCUACGGGAGGCAGCAGUAGGGAAUCUUCGGCAAUGGACGAAAGUCUGACCGAGCAACGCCGCGUGAGUGAAGAAGGUUUUCGGAUCGUAAAACUCUGUUGGUAGAGAAGAACGUUGGUGAGAGUGGAAAGCUCAUCAAGUGACGGUAACUACCCAGAAAGGGACGGCUAACUACGUG
rnacentral:rRNA from 1 species